rnacentral:rRNA from 1 species
UACGGGGGGGCAAGCGUUGUUCGGAAUUACUGGGCGUAAAGGGCUCGUAGGCGGCCAACUAAGUCAGACGUGAAAUCCCUCGGCUUAACCGGGGAACUGCAUCUGAUACUGGAUGGCUCGAGUUUGGGAGAGGGAUGCGGAAUUCCAGGUGUAGCGGUGAAAUGCGUAGAUAUCUGGAGGAACACCGGUGGCGAAGGCGGCAUCCUGGACCAACACUGACGCUGAGGAGCGAAAGCCAGGGGAGCAAAGCGGG